CAACCAGCAUAUAGCAGAUACAGCAGACACAGGCAAGACAAAGUUUGGACAUAUUUCAAAACUUGGAUGUGAAUAUUAUAGACGAUUGCUCCUGCCAAAAUCCAGGUAGUCAAUACAAAACACCAAGAUACUAUUGGAGUUACCACUGCAAGUUCAAUAUUGCACAAAGCUGACCUAGGAAGAUGGGAUGCUUCACUGCUUUCAGAUGAGCCUUUCACUGUCACAGUCAAUGGCCAGGAACAGAAUAAGCUCUGGAGAGCUGGAGAAACACAUUUGGAGCCAAGUAGAGGAAACAAGAGGGACCACAGAGGAACCUGUGCUACUUCUCAAUAGAAGAACAAAAGGAAACAGAUCAUCUGGCGGUACACCAAUGAACAAAUCAAAUUGCUACUGUUUAAAAUGAUGUUUGGGUUUCUGUCCAGUAUGUUGUGUUUGUUCUCUUCAGCUGAAGAAAACAAAGUAUCAAAAAGUACUAUCCAUAUCACCACACUCAUAAUUACAAAAAAAAAAAAAAAAAAAAAAAAAAAAAAAAAGUCUGAAGUCCACUUUGGCAAUACAGUAAAAAGCUCCAAUGAAGCAGACAGCAUACGACAAUUAGAUAGCCUUUACUAUAAUCCUAUGAUCUCCAGGAAUUAAGGUAAAGAGCAGACUUUUGUUAAUACCUGCUAAUACAGGAUCUGUAAUCACAUAGGAACAGAGGUAGAACAUUCUGCAACAUGUCAAGACAAAGAAUUAUUCAGAAAACU